rnacentral:rRNA from 1 species
GACGAACGCUGGCGGCGUGCUUAACACAUACAAGUCGAACGCUGAAGCUUGGUGCUUGCACUGGGUGGAUGAGUGGCGAACGGGUGAGUAAUACGUGAGUAACCUGCUCUUGACUCUGGGAUAAGCCUGGGAAACUGGGUCUAAUACUGGAUAUGACAUGCCACUGCAUGGUGGUGUGUGGAAAGGGUUUUACUGGUUUUGGAUGGGCUCACGGCCUAUCAGCUUGUUGGUGGGGUAAUGGCCUACCAAGGCGACGACGGGUAGCCGGCCUGAGAGGGUGACCGGCCACACUGGGACUGAGACACGGCCCAGACUCCUACGGGAGGCAGCAGUGGGGAAUAUUGCACAAUGGGCGGAAGCCUGAUGCAGCGACGCCGCGUGAGGGAUGACGGCCUUCGGGUUGUAAACCUCUUUCAGCACGGAAGAAGCGAGAGUGACGGUACGUGCAGAAGAAGCGCCGGCUAACUACGUG